GAUAAAUAUAGUGACACAAUGGGUUUCGGACAACUUUCAUCAAGUUUGCUGACAAUAAUAGUGGCUAUUGGAGUUACUAGACAAUGUCUAGCGACUAAUCCAACUACAACUGGGGGAUCCACAACAACUGGUGGCUCAAGCACAACUGGGGGAUCGACAACAACAGGAGGUUCCACAACAACUGGUGGUUCAACUGUAACUGGUGGAUCAACAACUACUGGGGGAUCCACAACAACUGGUGGCUCGAGCACAACUGGAGGUUCAACAACUACUGGGGAUCCACAACAACUGGUGGCUCGGCACAACUGGAGGUUCAACAACUACUGGGGAUCCACAACA